UGCCCACACCUGCCGCAGCUCAGCACUCCCGUCCAGAGGCUCGGCAGCCUGGAGGAAAAAAGUGAGAAAACAGCAAAGUGGAGCCGGACGGCGACGCUGCGGAGGCUCGGAGGCUCGGAGGCUGCAGGCGGCGGUCAUGUGGUGCCGCUUCGCUCUCUAACUCACCUGAAAGCUGCUCACCUGGCGGCCGACUCACCUGACACUCCCCGGAUUUAGCUGCUGAGACUCUGGACUGACUGAGAGCCGAUUUCUCAAUAUUUGUCUUGGAAGCAGGAAGUGACAGACAGGAGGAAUGGGGAGUAAGGAGCGUUACCACUGGCAGACCCAGAAUGUGAAGGUGAGCGGGGUCGACGACAUGGUGCUGCUGUCCAAGGUGAACGAGGACGCCAUCACCGAAAACCUGAAGAAGAGGUACAUGGACGACUACAUCUUCACCUACAUCGGUCCGGUUCUGAUCUCCGUCAACCCGUUCAAACAGCUUCCGUACUUCACUGAGCGAGAGGUGGAGCUGUACCAGGGAGCUGCUCAGUACGAGAACCCGCCCCACAUCUACGCGCUGGCUGACAACAUGUACAGGAACAUGAUGAUUGACAGCGAGAAUCAGUGUGUCAUCAUCAGUGGAGAGAGUGGAGCUGGGAAAACUGUGGCUGCCAAAUACAUCAUGAGCUACGUGUCCAAGGUGUCCGGAGGAGGAGACAAGGUCCAGCACGUUAAAGACAUCAUCCUGCAGUCCAACCCCCUGCUGGAGGCCUUCGGCAACGCCAAGACCGUCCGCAACAACAACUCCAGUCGCUUUGGGAAAUACUUUGAGAUCCAGUUCAGUCGAGGAGGAGAACCGGACGGAGGGAAGAUCUCCAACUUCCUGCUGGAGAAGAGCCGAGUGGUGUCGCAGAACCAGGGCGAGAGGAACUUCCACAUCUACUACCAGCUGCUGGAGGGAGCGAGCAAGGAGCAGAGGGAGAACCUGGGGGUCACGACCCCCGACUACUACUUCUACCUCAACCAAUCAGGAACCUACACCGUGGAUGAUGUCAACGACAAGAAGGAUUUCUCUGAUACCAUGGAGGCCAUGUCGGUGGUCGGUCUGUCGGUGGAGGAUCAGGACUCGGUGCUGCAGCUGGUGGCAGGAAUCCUGCAUCUGGGAAACAUCGGCUUCAGAGAGGAGAACAACUACGCUGUGGUGGAGAGCCAGGACUUCCUUGCGUUUCCGGCCUACCUGCUGGGGAUCGCUCAGGACGGCCUGUGCAGCAAACUGACCAGCCGGAUUAUGGACAGCAAGUGGGGCGGGAAGACCGAGUCCAUCUCCGUCACCCUGAACACGGAGCAGGCCUGCUUCUCCCGGGACGCCCUGUCCAAAGCCCUGUACGCCCGCCUCUUCGACUACCUGGUCGACUGUAUUAACAAAGCCAUGCAGAAGGAGCAGGAGGAGCUGAACAUUGGAGUGUUGGACAUCUACGGCUUCGAGAUCUUCCAGCAAAAUGGGUUUGAGCAGUUCUGCAUCAACUUUGUGAACGAGAAGCUGCAGCAGAUUUUCAUCGAGCUGACGCUGAAGGCCGAGCAGGAGGAGUACGUUCAGGAAGGAAUCAAGUGGACGCCAAUCGAUUACUUCAACAACAAGGUGGUGUGUGACCUCAUCGAGUCCAAACUGAAUCCUCCUGGGAUAAUGAGCAUCCUGGAUGACGUAUGUGCCACCAUGCACGCCAAAGGCGAGGGGGCGGACCAGACGCUGGUGCAGAAGCUGCAGGGUCAGAUCAGCUCGCACGAACACUUCAGCAGCUGGAACCGAGGCUUCAUCGUCCACCACUACGCUGGGAAGGUGUCGUAUGACGUCAGCGGUUUCUGUGAGAGGAACAGAGACGUUUUGUUCAACGACAUCAUCGAGCUGAUGCAGAGCAGCGAGUUCUCCUUCAUCAGAGCUCUGUUCCCUGAGAACCUGGAGGCGGAGAAGAGAGGGCGUCCGAGCACAGCCAGCAGCAAGAUAAAGAAACAAGCGAACACCCUGGUGCAGACGCUGAUGAAGUGCACCCCCCACUACAUCCGCUGCAUCAAGCCCAACGAGACCAAGCGCCCGCGGGACUGGGAGGAGAAGCGGGUCCGGCACCAGGUGGAGUACCUCGGCCUGCGAGAGAACAUCCGAGUCCGCCGGGCCGGCUACGCCUACCGCCGGGUCUUCAGCAAGUUCCUGCAAAGGUAUGCCAUCCUGACCAAGGAGACGUGGCCUCGGUGGCGGGGCGAGGAGCGUCAGGGAGUCCUGCACCUCCUGAACUCCGUCCACAUGGAUCAGGAUCAGUUCCAGCUGGGAAGGACCAAAGUGUUCGUCAAGGCGCCGGAGUCGCUCUUCCUGCUGGAGGAGAUGAGGGAGAGGAAGUAUAACGGCUACGCUCGAGUCAUCCAGAAAGCCUGGAGGAAACACAUCGCCGUCCGCAAGUACGUCAAGAUGAGGGAGGAAGCCUCGGACAUCCUGCUCAACAAGAAGGAGCGCAGGAGGAACAGCCUCAACAGGAACUUUGUGGGCGACUACAUCGGAACAGACAACCAUCCUGAGAUCCGGCAGUUCGUCGGCCGCCGGGAGAGGAUCGACUUCGCCGACGUCGUGGUGAAAUUUGACCGCAGGUUCAGGACGGUGAAGCGUGACCUCAUCCUGACCUCUAAGUUCUUGUACCUGAUUGGUCGAGAGAAGGUGAAGCAGGGUCCAGAGAAAGGUCAGAUUCAGGAGGUUCUGAAGAGGAAGAUCGAGCUCGACAAGAUCCAGUCUGUUUCUCUGAGCACUCUGCAGGACGACAUCUUCAUCAUCCACGAGGAAGAGUACGACAGCGUUCUGCAGAGCAUGUUCAAAACAGAGUUCCUCAGCCUGCUGGUCAAACGCUACCAGGAGAAAACUCAGAGGAAGCUGCCGCUGAAAUUCAACAACCUACUGGAGUUCAAGGUGAAGAAGGGCGGCUGGGGUCCCUUCAGCUCCGCCGGCUCCAGGCAGAUCCAGUUCCAGGCCGGUCAGGGAGACGAAGCCGUCCUGAAGCCCAGCAGCAAAGUCCUGCUGGUCAGCAUCGGACCGGGCCUGCCCAAAAACUCCCGACCAACCAGGAAGGACAAACGCAAGAGUCGCUACGUGGGCAAUCAGGCUCCGCCCACCAACCACUACUCUGCUGGUCCUCGGGCCGGAGGAGGAGGAGGGGAUCGGAGAGGCGGUGGGCGGUCCUCCAGGCUCUCCAUCCUCCAGCAGCAGUCCAGCAUGGAGCAGCCGACCCUGCCCCGGCUGCAGAGCCAGCAGCAGCGCAGGAGCCGCCCCGCCCAGCAGCAGGACAUGGGCUUCAUGGACGUCCCGGACCAGGGGGUGGCAGGUCUGCAUCGCCGGCGCUCUAAAGAGGUGAAGCCGCUGCCCGGCGGCGGCCUGCCCAAACCGGCUCCCAGACCGAAGCCCCGCGGGCCGCAGUGCAGGGCGCUGUACGCCUACGACGCCCAGGACACCGACGAGCUCAGCUUCAACGCCGAUGAUGUCAUCGACAUCCUCACUGAGGACAAGUCAGGCUGGUGGUUCGGGCGCCUGCGGGGCAGGGAGGGGAUGUUCCCUGGGAACUACGUGGAGAAGAUCUAGAGCGCCUGCCGGGGUCAGAGGUCGCCUGCAGCUGGAGGACCUGCAGCGCUGGAUCCACCGUGUCUCCACCUGCUGUCAUUACUGUAAUGCUGCGUUCCAGACAAUCAGAAAGUUUGGUUUCAUAUCAGGAAAAAAGCGACAGCUCCCAGCAGCUGGCAGGUGAACAGGU